CUUCUGGUCGUACGUCGUCAGGGUUUUUGCAAAAACGCCCUUGUGUCUUUAGAUAUUCAACCCGCAGUCCUUUUUAAAGUGAAUUCUGAAAGAACGCUUCGUUUUUACAAAAAGACCCCUACGUUUGUAAGAUAUUCAGUCCGUGUCCCUCUCGUUCAUCUUAUCCAAACUGGCCUUUCCAGCGACGGCAGCGACGGCGGAGCACGAGCAGUUGAGGGGCGGCGCCCUUUUCAUCGGACCUACAACCGCGGCGGAGGAGAAGGCGGACGUCGUGGGCGCGUGCUCGAGUAGCACCGGCUCGAGCUCGCCUCGCUCCGCUAGGUCUAUUUCCCCAGCGGGAUUCGCCACUCACGGCCACCAGUGGUGACCUUAAGGCCUCACCAUGGCGAGGGUUUCGGGCGCCUCCACACUGGCGUGGCUCCGGCAGCUCUUCUCCGACGCCCACCGCGCCCCCACACGCAGCUCCGUCUCCAAGAUGUUUCUCCGCAACCAGGUGGCCAUGGGGUGAGACGAUGUGCAGGGUAAGGAUUGGAUGCUUGAGGAAGGAGGGGUCGACCUUGCCUUGCUGCAGCUCGGGACGCACCACCAUGGACCGUCCUCCUUUCUGUCUUUCAAGUGAGUUCGCCCCCUCCUCUCUCUGCUCUUGUUCGUGGCCAUUGAGGCGUUUGGGCUCAAUUGGCUGCUGUUUGAGGUCACUUUUGUUGAUACUGUUAAAGUGUUGAUUGUUCCUUGAAUUGAACAGCAAGGUUAACCAUGAAUUUGUUAGUUGAAUUGAUGCCUGACUGAACUACAUUUGUUAGUUGAAUUGUUCAAUCUUGAAUUUAGGGAGUUGCUACUGAAGGAUGGAAAAAAUGGGUACUGUUUGUGGCUCCCGUGGUCAUCAACUUGCUACUGUUUGAGCUCAAUUUUUUGGUAGCUUUUAUGUGUUAAUUUAUCCAUGCUUUGUUGCAUCCCACCCUCCCCUUUGGUGACGGCAGCCAAUGCUUAUAUCGGAGGAGCUGCUGCUGCGCUUCCUUCUUUGUUUUUUCUGCUACAUGUUGCAGGUGUUUGAGGCAUCGACAAACAACGACAAGGUUCGACGUCAGUUGAGCUAGCUGCUGGGGACGCCUCUCUCUCUCUCUCAAUUAUCUCUAUCCCCGUCUCUGUCAUGAUAUUUAGAAGCCAUAUAUUAAUCUCGUCGAUGCCUAAUUCCAAAAUCCCGUCUCGCUCGCUCUUGAUCCCCCGUCCCUCUCUAGAGUUACGAGAUGCGCCGCCGCCGCCGCCGCCAGCAUGGUCGCAAUGGCUGCCGCGAGUCUCCCCGAUCGAUGUCGCCGUCUGUCUGUGCUCCGAGCUCGAUGGUUCUCCGGCCAACAAGCGUUUGUUCGUGUCGCCACCAGCGUUAGGCGUUGCUCGCCACUGCCCCAGAUUGCCGCCGUACAUAGCGCUCCACCGUGCCCCCCACUGGAUCCCCUUCCUCCUGGUCAUGCCAUAUUGCCGUGCGUCAUCGUCGCGCCCAAGCUCUAUGAGAUACUUGAAGAGGGAGUGCUUGGGCUGCUUCAUGUAUUGUCUCAAAACAACUUGCCGUGCCAUAUUGCCGUGCUUCAUGUAUUGUCUGAAAACUUGAGAGUUUCAAGGAUCCCAAAUAUUCCAAAGGAUGAGAAAAGUGAUGAAACGCUUCCAAGUUUGAUGUCCUGGCAGUUUGGAGUAUUCCAGUAGCACACCAAACAACUUUUGCUGUAGGACACUGAAUGAAUAGAUGAGAGCAAGUUUCUGUGGCUUAGAGACACAUGGGGCAGAUGUCUGAAUUAUGGUCUUGUGUAAAUUUUGACAUGUGUUCAGUCUUCCGUUAUGCAGUAGCCAUCCAAAAAAAAUACAUUGUUGGGCACCCUUGACGACUAAAACAGAGAGAGUGGGAUAAUCAAUUCCUUGGUAUCUCUAUCCUCAACCAAACUACGGAUCAUCCAACCUUCGGUCAGGUUCAUUAUUCUUCAACCUUAGUGCUGCAUAUCCCUAUUUGAAUGAUACUUGGUGCAUAAAAUUAGUGAUUCAGAACAAUCAUUUUUUUUCUUUGUUACGAACAAAUCUAUAACUCUCCCAAAUAGAAGAUUACCACUAAAAGAGAACAACUAUUAGUCUUGAUAGGUGAAGUCAGAUUGUGUACUGACAUGUUGUAAUCUCUGUAUCCUAUUUCUUGCCACUGCUUGUGUUAUUUUGCUUACACAGAGUGGCCAUGUUUAUUUUAAAUUUCCUUUGUCAAUUGCCUUUAAGUUAACAAAUCAGGGUAAUAAAUAGAAUGUGUCUGUUCCAUUACCCACAACUGUACCAUUAUCUACUAUUGAAUAGUUGGAUCAAUAAACUUUUCGUAAUCUUUUAUUGUAGAAGAGCAAUGUUCUACCUGCUUAUAAUUAUAUGUCAUUCCUGAGUUGUUAUUUGUAAGAUGAUGAUGAUUGAUAAGAAUUUAUGCCAUUCUUUCUCCUGCCCCCUUCUCUCUGUAGAGUUAACUACCCGUGGAGGUUUGAGGAAGAGCUCGCUGGGCAAAUUCGUUGGUGGGCUCAGUCGGCGAACGACAGAGACACUCCGGCAAGGUCGAGCCGGCGGCUAGGCUUAGCCAAAAGGAGGGCUCUGGAGGUCAUGGGCAGCAAGGGCAGUAACUGGCAACACGAAUGGGUUACCAUGUUGUAAUGAAAGUCGUGGGCUUAUGGGUUCUUGACUCGUGAGUCAUGCUUACUGGGCUAAGGGCAUCUGAUAUUUUCUUGAUUCUGUUCCAGCACAAUCCACAGCUUUAUGAUCAGUAGAUGGGAUGACUGUUGUAAAUUAACAUCCUCUUUCGCAUUGAGAGAGAGGCAUGGUAGUUAUUUUGUAUUGCAGCUCAAAACUGGUAAACAUCACUUCUCCUUUGAAAAGGUGCAUUGUGCUCAUCGAUAAGUUUUGCCCCUAA